CUAAAAAUACAAAAAUUAGCUGGGCGUGGUGGCGGGCGCCUGUAAUCCCAGCUACUCGUGAGGCUGAGGCAGAGAAUUGCUUGAACCCGGGAGGCGGAGGGUACAGUGAGCCGAGAUCGGGCCAUUGCACUCCAGCCUGGGCGACAAAGGGAGACUCCAUCUAAAAAAAAAAAAGAAAGAAAGAAAAAAAAAAUAGACCAAAGAACAGUACCUAAAAUCCUCUAAUGUGUGUUGUCUGCGGUGGUCGCGGUCACCGUCGGUUUUCCGUUUGUCUGUGAUGGUGUGCCCUAACUUUAACAUGAGCCUGCGGCAUCUUCUCCAGGAGCCACUGUUAGGACUUUAGGGUGUCCAGCCUGGCUUCCAGAUGUGUUGAGGGCGGGUCCCAGAACCCUUCCCCCCACGAUUUAAUCCACUCCCCAGCUGCAGGUGUGGCCUGGAGGCGGGCACCUGCCACCUGGCUUGGCUGGAGCAGAGUGUCCGGCUCUCCAAGGGUGGCUUGGGGGUCUCUGUUCAUGGAGUUUUGCAAGAGUGGAGGAGGACGUUUCCCUUAGAAAAGCCACUUGUACCCUUCCUGCCAGAGAAAAGUCACUCCCCGAACCCCAUUUGCAGAGUCUGCCCCUGGGCUGGGCUCCCCAGAAGUAAGCAUCUGAGAGGGGCAGUUGGGUCACACCCCUGCGGGCAUCAGGGCUCCGUGCAACACAGUGCCCUUGACCCCAUCCCGCACGCUCCCAGUCGGCCACCCAAACCAGAAAGACGUCCACUUCCAGCUCAGGUAUUUCUGACAACAUGUGCAUUUAUUUGUAUUAGAAGUACAAACGUAGGAAUCCAAAUACAAAUACAGAGGGCGGCCCAGCCACGAGGCCCAGCUGAGGGCACGGCGGGGACGGGACGCACGAAGCGGGGCGCGGCGCCGCCCGUGUCGCCAAGGCACGUCGGGCGCCAGUGCGCCCUCAUUUCACUAGGACACCACGAGCCGCACGGAUAGCGGGGAGCCACGUCCUCUGCGCAGGGGAGGAGGGCGGCGGGACCUCGGGACCGCCCGGAGCCAGGGCCUCCAAUCCCUCGCGGGACGACAGGGACACAGGGGCUACUGGAGGCCACUUGGUGAGGGCGGGUCCCUGCUGGGGCAGGAGGCGCACGCACUGGGGCAGGGCGCGGCCCCCUCGGGGCCAAGCGCAUCCACACCGGUGCUCUAAGAUGAUUCCAAAAUGUUUUCGGAUUCUGGAAUCUCCCGGCCUACCUCCCAUCUGGAGGACAAUGGCUUCACAGGCAGGAAGGAUUCCAUGGGAACAGAGAGCAGUCCGCGCCUCUCUCCUUCCCUUCCUGCCUGGGCCAUCUCCCAGGACCCCUGACAGUUUCACCUCCCACACAGGCUUCACAGAGAGAGGACCCUGCCCACACCCCGGCUGCUUCAAGCCUGACCUGACGCCUUCCUGUGACCUGCGAAUACGACUUCCUAGACAAGGGUGGGGAUGGCUGUUUGCCAUCUAAAUCUUGAAAAGUACUUUUGGCUUAUCGGGUCAACUUGACCAGAAUGCACGAAUGAUCAAGGAGUCGCCCAGGUGUGCACCCCGGUCACAACAGUGAUGCUCAAGGGCUCUCCAAAGGAGGCAGGCUUGUGUGGACCCCAGAGGGACUCCUGAUCAGAAAUUGCAGAUGAAAUUUCUUACGGGUAGAGUUUAAAAUCGCUCAGGAAAAGCACUCAAAAAGAGUUGCAAGAUCAUGGAGUGAAUUCCAAGUGCUUUGUGCCUUGAGAGCACUGAACCGAUACGGUGAUAAGAAUAAUGGUUGGAGACCAGGUGUAAUUCUUCAAGUCUCAAAGGAAAUCACAGAAAAUUUCCAUUUUGGCAGCUGAGAUAAAAAUGAUCAAGGAAGAAGAGGUUUUGUCUGUUUUGUGUUCUAGCCCUUUAGAUAGAGUGGCUCAUUGCUUCCUAGUCAUAGGGAGCUGGAGUCAAUGCAGAAUGGGUUACCGGCCCCUCUCCUGUUGCUUCGAGUGUGGUUAUAUUGCAGAACAACGAAGCAACAUGCCUGCAAACUUACUGCAGCAAGCUAUCACCAGGUAAAAUGAUUUGGUGCGGAGUUUCUAUUAGAGACACUCAUCCCCAUCAGGACUGUGUUGCUGACAUUUUAGAUUGGCCCCAAUUUCCCUUAUGUAGAGUGAAAAUGCUUUGCUCUUGAGAACACGCAUUUUCUCAGUCAAAGAGCCUGCAAAAUCUUUGUACUUAAUUGGUUUGAUGUAAAAUUAAGGGUAAGACUGUUUGGCAUAUAAAGAAAUGAAAUCCUAUUUCCAUCCAUUCAUAAAAGAUAAAUAAAACUUGGCAUGAAAUAUAGCUAACUGCAGGAAAUGGAAAAUCUUAAAAGAUGUGUAUUAUUUGAGCUUUCUGUUUCAUUUUAAGGCAUGUUUUGGGUAAAUUGGGGGCAGUAUUGGCUGGGUCCAGAGUAAAUUAUACUAACUUUGUCCUUCUCUGUCUGGUAUGUAGGGAGUCUCUGUUCUGGUAGGUGGUGUUGGGACUUUGCAGAAGCUGAAGCUUUCUAGGCUCUGAAGAGACAUUUUUCUCCAAUUCCAUUAAUGUGAAAUGCCUUUUCUUUGCUUUCCCCCCACCCAGUAUGCAGCUUAAAAGACAGACAGUCACAGUUUUAAGUGUGAUCCACAGUGGUCAGAAAUUUGGAUUCCAUGUCAAAAUACAGAACUGUCAUCUCCUCAACUUAGAGUAUUUCUGAAAGUGAGGAACACAGUAGCACCUUUGGAAUGCAGAUCACUCAGACAACUUCCACCCCAAAUAUUUCCCAAUUCUGCAUGCAAAGCAAGCUGGGGCUUAGCUGUGUGGAACAGCCUUGCACCUCGUGCCCACACACGUCCCUCCUGAUCAGGCAUCCUGGCAAAGAGAGUCUUUAGUGAAAGAAAGCGUACUUCCUUCCCACUCUCCCCACACUGCUCCUCUCCUUCCUCUAGAAAGUAAACAUGUACAUGAUUAAAAAUCCCCUGAGCUCUGCACCUCACCAAGGCACACCCAUCUCUUCCUCAUUGUGGACUGAAAAGGCUCAUCUCAGGAGUUGAGACUGAUAUGGAGAACUUGAAUUAUGCAAGCCUGCGGAGAACCCGGCAUGGACAUGCUCUUAGGGGGUGCUUUAGCUCUUUUUAUUGAGACCCCCUAGUGGGGAGCCUGCUGUAUAUGCAGGAAUCCACACUAUGAUGCUCAGUUAGUGAAAUCCAUUGGACUUUCUUGAGAUGAAGGUUCUCCUUCCUAGAAAAGGAGCGCUGAACUCAUCUGUUUUGAUCAGGAGGGCUGCUGAGGUUGGGAAGAAGAGAAUGGCUGGAUUCAGAAAACUGAGGUUAUUGGUGUAUUUAUCCUACAUGUAAAAUUUCAGGAGGGUUGCUAACAAUAUCCAAAUGUUGAGUGGUUUUGAAACACAAGGCAUCAGUAAAAUUCUUUUAAGGUAAAAUCAAACAAAUCCAUGUUAUAAAAAGUUGUUUUAGGUUAUUUUCCUCCCAAUAAGAAUUUUUCUAGAAAAUUCAGUUCUCUCCAGAACUUCGUUUACAAUGUAGCAGGUUGCAGUUCUUCAGCUUGUUAGAAAUUACCCAUUCAUAACGUUUGACAUUGUGUCUUAAGACUGCCCUUGGGCCACCUUCCCUUGGCGCUCAGUGCUGUGGUGUGACUUGGAUUCCUUUGGUCAGGGUCCUUGCAGAAUACUUCUGCCAAGGCGGGGGUUGCUUAUGCAUGAGAGACAGAACUAGAGUACCAGAGUGUGAAAUUCUCCAAUAGAGGAGACAUUGCAUCUAAGACAAUAUUUUCAACCUGUUUCUCCACAAAUACUCUUUUAUUUUUAAAACUGAAUUUGCUAAACUGAAGCCAAUUGGCUUGUGGAUUAUGUAGCAACUACCAAACCAAAAGACAGAGAGUUGACAGGGAGAGAAACAAUGGGUUUGAAUGUCUCACGCUGUAUAGACUCCAUCUUUGGAAAUUCAGACAUAUCUAUAUCUUUGCAUCCGUUUAAUAUGCAACAAUCUUAAUAGGAAUAAGCAGAUGAAUCUAAUUUCACUUUUUCUGGCCUCUUCUGCUCCCAUCCUCUUCUGUGUCUGGUAUACAUCCAGGACAUUGUGUGAAAUUGAUACUUUUCUAUACUUUCUCUGCAAAAUAUUUUACGUUUCUGGGUAAUUAUGGUAUGCACAAUAGAUAAUUUUAAAAAUUACGGUUUCUAGGUCAAAUUAAUUCAGUUUUCUAUGUGAGAAAGAUGAGAAGCACAGAGAUUCUGGUUUCAAAUUUUAACAAUGCCAAAGCAUUAUUAACUAACUGGUAGGACUUGUGUUUUGCCUAUUGGUGAGGAGAAGUUUCAAAACAGUCUUCUGCAGUUCACAUUGGCAUCCAGUUAUAACAAAGAACUAACAGCAAGCAGCAAGUUGGUUUUGUAUUAUAAAAAUAUCAAAAGAGUAUUGAUUUGGGGGGAUAUUUUUUCUUUGGGAUUUUGCUAUGUAUCCAUAUUUCAAAGUAUAAAAUAAUCUUGUUCAUCAAAAUAUGUACUUGAUGAUCACCAUUGCCCAUUUUUUUGCAUCUAAAGUUGGUUUGAGUUGAAAAUUAAUAUUCACUAAUUUUUUUUUUUUAAUUUUGGCCGGGCAUGGUGGCUCAUGCCUGUAAUCCUAGCACUUUGGGAGGCUGAGGCGGGCAGAUCACCUGAGGUCAGGAGUUCGAGACCAGCCAGGCCAACAUGGUGAAACCCCGUCUCUACUAAAAAAACCCAAAAAACAAAAAACAAAAAUACAAAAAUUAGCCGGGUGUGGUAGCGCACACCUGUAGUCCCAGCCACUUGGGAAACUGAGGCAGGAAAAUCGCUUGAACAUGGGAGGCAGAGGUUGCAGUGAGCUAAGAUUGUGCCACUGCACUCCAGCCUGGCCAGGUGACAGAGCAUGACUCUGUCUCAAAAAAAUAAAAUAAAAAUAAAAUUUUAUCUACAUGUCUUUCACAUUCCGGUGUAUGUCUUCAAGAUAACAGGUUGUGUUCACUGUAUACCUUUCUUUGCAAAAUGACAAUUACCGAACCCAUAAUAAUAUAACAUAAGCUGGACACAUACUCGAGGGUUGAGCGUUGGUCUAGUGAAAAACAGCUCUUAAGGUGAAAUGCUGUUGAACUAGUCCAAGAACCCAAAGUUCAAAUAUUGUUGACUCUCAGUAAGUUGGAAUAAAGUAAUAACCUUCUGAUGUUCAGAGAUAAUCAUCUUUGACCCCAACAACAUGAGCAUUUUGAAAAUCUUAUUUUCUCCUCCAAUGGAAACCGUAGACAAUGCGAGUGUACUCUCCCCAGGCCUAGAACGAGGUUAUUAGGUAAAGGAGUGCCAGCUAACGAUGAUGGUGCUGGAGCCAGAGAGGCCACAGAGAAAGGAGACUGGGGUUGGAACCCACUGCUGUUCACACUGGAGCACACACAUGCCCAGGCUGAGCCAGCAGGAGUGGGUCUCGGCCAGGGGUGAUUCAACACUCCUGAGUGCUACUACACCCAGGGCUGCAAAGGAAAGAUACAGAAGGACUAGAGGCCUGAGAGAGCAUCUCAGACAUUCACGUGCACAUUUUACAGAUUUCUUUGCAAGGGUAAUCAG
rnacentral:lncRNA from 1 species